GUCAAGUCAUCAUGCCCCUUAUGUCCAGGGCUACACACGUGCUACAAUGGCCGGUACAGAGGGCUGCGAGGCCGUGAGGCGGAGCGAAUCCCAGAAAGCCGGUCCCAGUUCGGAUUGGAGGCUGAAACUCGCCUCCAUGAAGUCGGAGUUGCUAGUAAUCGCGAAUCAGCAACGUCGCGGUGAAUACGUUCCCGGGCCUU
rnacentral:rRNA from 1 species